GGUGUCAGAUACUGUUGGUUAAACAAAACUCAGUUAGCUUGGAUAGUUUAGGAGGUAUUUACAUAUGGAAUGUAUGUUAGAGUGUUAAGAUGUUGCUAGUUUCUUUUUUGUUAUACGUUAUAUUUGUUGCAAGUAUAUUUUAAACCAUACAAUAUAUUACUUUUUUAUUUACAAAUAAGGUUAUUAUAGUGAGAUUAUAACUAUUUUUCCUUUUUUAGAGAAUUGUUUGCGUGUUAUCAUAUUUAGUAAGUGUUCAACUGCUAACUAGUAUGUGCAACAUCAUCCGUUUUUCUUAUUAGUGAGUACUUACUUAAUACAUUUUUUAUGUAAGGUCUUCUUGUAUGAUACCAAAACCAGGAAAAUGAAUUUAUAUUUGAAAAAAC
rnacentral:lncRNA from 1 species